AUGGACGCUAGCUACAGGCUCAACACAUGCAAGUCGAGGGGCGAGCGGGAUUGAAGCUUGCUUCAAUUGCCGGCGACCGGCGCACGGGUGAGUAACGCGUAUCCAACCUUCCGUACACUCAGGGAUAGCCUUUCGAAAGAAAGAUUAAUACCUGAUAGUAUGGUGAGAUUGCAUGAUAGCACCAUUAAAGAUUUAUUGGUAAACGAUGGGGAUGCGUUCCAUUAGGUAGUAGGCGGGGUAACGGCCCACCUAGCCGACGAUGGAUAGGGGUUCUGAGAGGAAGGUCCCCCACAUUGGAACUGAGACACGGUCCAAACUCCUACGGGAGGCAGCAGUGAGGAAUAUUGGUCAAUGGGCGAGAGCCUGAACCAGCCAAGUAGCGUGAAGGAUGAAGGUCCUACGGAUUGUAAACUUCUUUUAUACGGGAAUAAAGUAUCCUACGUGUAGGAUUUUGUAUGUACCGUAUGAAUAAGCAUCGGCUAACUCCGUG
rnacentral:rRNA from 1 species